AGUUCAGUUGGUUAGAACAACAAUUUUGAGGACGCGGGUUCGAUUCCCGUC
rnacentral:tRNA from 1 species